rnacentral:misc_RNA from 1 species
GAAAAAAAAAAAAUGCUUAUGGAUAGAGCUUAAAGAAAAGGCAGCUAAUGGUUGUUCUAUCAUCUAUCAGCUACCUUUUUAAAGGAAUUAUCAUCUAGCUUGGUUUAGUUGUUUGAAUAUCUACCAACUAUCAGCUGCAUCCAACAACUGAAUCAAACACUCCCUAAAACCAGAAUGAAUUGAUUUGAUCGUCUCAUCUCAGUUCCGGAUCAAAACUGAUUUUUUUCACUUUUUUUAAAAAAAAUAAAAAUUUUAAAACAAUUUUGACAUCAAAUCAGAUUGGAAUUAAACCAAAAUCAAAUUAGAACAGGAGCCAAGAGGAACCCUUCAGUCCUAUCCCGGCCCUUAGGACAGAAACUGCCCGUCCAGUACGACCCAGAACCAGACGGCACCCAUGCCAAACUAUUUGAAUUUUAAGGGCCAAUUUGAAUGGAUCAGAUGGGUAGGGGGUAUUUAAAUUUGUCACAUACCCCUUUCUUUUUAAUGAUGAUUUUUCACUUAGAACAAAAAUUCUAAUGCACACUUUAUCUAAAUGGACAUGGGUCAAUGGAAGAUCUAAGUUCACACCAAAACAUCGGCUAAUUAGUCAGGUUGAG